UCCUGGAUAGCUCAGUUGGUUAGAGCGUGGUGCUGAUACUGUCAAGGUUGCAGGUUCGAUCCCUGUAUGGGGCU